rnacentral:lncRNA from 1 species
AAUUGCCAAAUUAGGCGGCGCAUUGAAAAGAUCUGAUCCGGAGUAUUAUCUGUCUUUCCAGUAGGGCUCUUUGGUUCCCCAGAUGCCCCUGAAGAGCCCACUGCCCUCCCUCAUCUCCAGCUCCUUACUGCCCACGCUCUGGGCCUCACAGUGCUGAUCGCUCUGGCUCUAACUAUUUGCCUGGUCGUGAAGUUUGUGUGUUUCCCCAAGAAGGGCAAGGAGCCAUCUUGCUGGGACCUUGGCACGCCUUGUGGUGAGAGUGGGAACUGCAGUGACUCCAUCACCACCUUCCCCUGCCAGGUCAAACAGUUCCCGAAUGACACCGGAAACUUCAGUACAGGUAGAAAUGGUCUGGUAGCCCUCAGCAGUAAUAAAUCAGG